GCCUCCAUAGCUCAGUGGUUAGAGCACUGGUCUCGUAAACCAGGGGUCGCGAGUUCGAACCUCGCUGGGGGCU
rnacentral:tRNA from 1 species